rnacentral:lncRNA from 1 species
AGGAGGAAUAUGUACCAAGGAACAGUAAGUGCUAUGUCAAAGGAGAAGAAGAAAUGACAACAUAUUGCUGGAAGGAGACCAGGUCUCAUUCUGUUGCUCAGGCUGGAGUGCAGUGACACAGAGUUCACUGUAAGCUUGAACUCCUGAGCUCAAGCGAUCCUCUUUCCUUAGUCUGCCGAGUAGCUGUGACUACAGGUGCAUGCCACCAUGCCUCAGCCUCUCAACGCACUGGGAUUAAAGGCGUGAGCACCUACGCCUGGCCAUGGACUUAUUUAUUUUUUUAUUUGUCAGCUGGGAACUUUGAUUCCUACUUAUUUUCUGCUCUAAUAUUUUGGCUGUUUCAAGACUCCUAAGACAUUAUCUCUCAAUGGUCAGAGAAAGACUAAUACUAUUUAUUUAUUUUCUAUAUCUUUGGUUGCCUUGAUAAAACAAAUAAUUGAGGAAAAAUAGUUUUAAACAAGAAACUUUACCUAAUGAAUCAUCAGUGAACUUAUCUAGUAUUUGGCACUUCAGAUCAUGUUUCUCCUACCCCUAUUUUAGUAGUUAGGAGAAAUCUGUAGAUUGUUUCUCUUUGAAAUCAGAACAAGUGGAUUUAAAUCCUAGAUCUGCUUCCAUCAGCUGAGUGACUUGGCUAAGUUUCUUAAGCUCUCUAGGAAUCAGUUUCUUCAUUUGGAAAAUAAGGAAUGGGCCGGGCACAGUGGCUCAUGCCUGUAAUCCCAGCACUUUGGGAGGCUGAGGCGGGCAGAUCACCUGAGGUGGGGAGUCCAAGACCAGCCUGACCAACAUGGAGAAACC